GACAAGGGAGACAGUCAGAGAGGCUGCUGGAAAGAGUGUGAAAGGAGAGAAGAAAACUGUUAUGUUUCCAAUCCUGGAACUGUUUUGGGCCAGACGGCAAAAUGAGCACAUGGGAAGAGACCAGUCCUGAUCAUGCAUUACUAUGGCAGCAUAUGACCAGGAGGAAAUGAAUAUGUUUGCAUUUUAGAAGGAAGCAUAUGAAACAAACCUUGCAUAACCUAGCAAGGUAUAGUGACACCUGCUAACUGAAAAAGCAUACAACUUUCUUUUAUAGUUCACCGGUAGACAUGAUGAAGUAUUCAAGCCCUAUAGUUUACUUCAGAAAUCAGUUGUCUGUUGAAAGAUAACAGCAACUACAGUUUGCAAGAAUCCGACUGAAAUUAUCCAUCACAUCCAGUGCAGAAGAGGUGAAGGAACAGUAUACCUCAGAAUAUCCAUAUCACAUCUGACCCUGAUUACUGAAGGGUUUUGUGCCUGAACUAUCAUAUCUUCCUGUUUUCCCAGUGAUUUAUUCUCUAUUCUUACUGUUACCCAAGUAAAUAUAAUAAACACUGACUGAAAUAAUGUA
rnacentral:lncRNA from 1 species